GAGGGUACAGCGCAAGUGGUAGGGCACAUGCUUAGCAUGCUUGAGGUCCUGGGUUCAGUCCCCAGUACCUCCU
rnacentral:tRNA from 1 species